AUUGAACGCUGGCGGCAUGCUUUACACAUGCAAGUCGAACGGUAACAGGCCUUCGGGCGCUGACGAGUGGCGAACGGGUGAGUAAUGCAUCGGAACGUGCCCAGUCGUGGGGGGUAACGCAGCGAAAGCUGUGCUAAUACCGCAUACAAUCUGCGGAUGAAAGCGGGGGACCUUCGGGCCUCGCGCGAUUGGAGCGUCCGAUGUCAGAUUAGGUAGUUGGUGGGGUAAAGGCUCACCAAGCCAACGAUCUGUAGCUGGUCUGAGAGGACGACCAGCCACACUGGGACUGAGACACGGCCCAGACUCCUACGGGAGGCAGCAGUGGGGAAUUUUGGACAAUGGGCGCAAGCCUGAUCCAGCAAUGCCGCGUGCAGGAAGAAGGCCUUCGGGUUGUAAACUGCUUUUGUACGGAGCGAAAAGGCUCCCUCUAAUACAGGGGGCUCAUGACGGUACCGCAAGAAUAAGCACCGGCUAACUACGUGCCAGCAGCCGCCGUAACAC
rnacentral:rRNA from 1 species